GCCCGUAUGGAAAAAUCGAUUUUUCUAUGCGGGCGCUUAAGUGAGCCGCAUGCAAAAGUGACCUUAUUUUUGCAUGCGGAUCUCUUAGAGGCCCGUAUGGAAAAAUCGAUUUUUCCAUACGGGC
rnacentral:pre_miRNA from 13 species